AGUGAACGCUGGCGGUAGGCCUAACACAUGCAAGUCGAACGGCAGCACAGUAAGAGCUUGCUCUUACGGGUGGCGAGUGGCGGACGGGUGAGGAAUACAUCGGAAUCUACUUUUUCGUGGGGGAUAACGUAGGGAAACUUACGCUAAUACCGCAUACGACCUACGGGUGAAAGCAGGGGAUCUUCGGACCUUGCGCGAUUGAAUGAGCCGAUGUCGGAUUAGCUAGUUGGCGGGGUAAAGGCCCACCAAGGCGACGAUCCGUAGCUGGUCUGAGAGGAUUAUCAGCCCCAAUUGAACUGGAACACGGUCCCAACUCCUACGGGAGGCAGCAGUGGGGAAUAUUGGACAAUGGGCGCAAGCCUGAUCCAGCCAUACCGCGUGGGUGAAGAAGGCCUUCGGGUUGUAAAGCCCUUUUGUUGGGAAAGAAAAGCAGCAGGUUAAUACCCCGCUGUUCUGACGGUACCCAAAUAAUAAGCACCGGCUAACUUCGUG
rnacentral:rRNA from 1 species